AUGACAAUGGACAGCAAUAUUGCAAUAUAAUAACAACAAAUUUUUGUUCGCAUAAAUUUAGGAUACCAGCAUGUCCUCAUUUUAUUCAAAAUAUUGAAACGUAACAAAAUUUCAGUAGUUUUGAUACAUCCAGUUGACUUGUACAACAAAAUUAUUUGACCGCAUCCACCAAAACUGACCAUAUGUGCACUUUAAUUUGUAAAUCUAUAUAUACCCGCAUCGUUAAUCAGCCAUAUUUUUUAUGUCAGGAUUCAAUGUAUAAUACAAUCAUGACAAUGGACAGCAAAAUUGCAAUAUAAUAACAAAAAAUUUUGGUUCGCAUAAAUUUAGGAUACCAGCAUGUCCUCUUUUUACUUAAAAUA
rnacentral:lncRNA from 1 species